rnacentral:rRNA from 1 species
GUGAUAACGAGGGUCUACGGACCUGAAGUGACUGAUACCACGCUUCCAGGAAAAGCCACUAAGCUUCAGCUUAUAACAAACCGUACCGCAAACCGACACAGGUGGGCAGGAUGAAAAUUCUAAGGCGCUUGAGAGAACUCAGGAGAAGGAACUCGGCAAAUUGAUACCGUAACUUCGGGAGAAGGUAUGCCCCUGUAGCGUGUAGCGACUUGCUCGUGAAGCGUGAAGGGGUCGCAGAGAAUCGGUGGCUGCGACUGUUUAUUAAAAACACAGCACUGUGCCAACACGAAAGUGGACGUAUACGGUGUGACGCCUGCCCGGUGCUGGAAGGUUAAGUGAAGGGGUGCAAGCUCUGGAUCGAAGCCCCAGUAAACGGCGGCCGUAACUAUAACGGUCCUAAGGUAGCGAAAUUCCUUGUCGGGUAAGUUCCGACCCGCACGAAUGGCGUAACGAUGGCCACACUGUCUCCUCCUGAGACUCAGCGAAGUUGAAGUGUUUGUGAAGAUGCAAUCUACCCGCUGCUAGACGGAAAGACCCCGUGAACCUUUACUGUAGCUUUGCAUUGGACUUUGAACAGACUUGUGUAGGAUAGGUGGGAGGCUAUGAAGCCAGGACGCUAGUUCUGGUGGAGCCGUCCUUGAAAUACCACCCUGGUGUGUUUGAGGUUCUAACCUUGGUCCGUGAUCCGGAUCGGGGACAGUGCAUGGUAGGCAGUUUGACUGGGGCGGUCUCCUCCCAAAGUGUAACGGAGGAGUUCGAAGGUUACCUAGGUACGGUCGGAAAUCGUGCUGAUAGUGCAAUGGCAAAAGGUAGCUUAACUGCGAGACUGACACGUCGAGCAGGUGCGAAAGCAGGACAUAGUGAUCCGGUGGUUCUGAAUGGAAGGGCCAUCGCUCAACGGAUAAAAGGUACUCCGGGGAUAACAGGCUGAUUCCGCCCAAGAGUUCACAUCGACGGCGGAGUUUGGCACCUCGAUGUCGGCUCAUCACAUCCUGGGGCUGUAGCCGGUCCCAAGGGUAUGGCUGUUCGCCAUUUAAAGUGGUACGUGAGCUGGGUUUAAAACGUCGUGAGACAGUUUGGUCCCUAUCUGCAGUGGGCGUUGGAAGUUUGACGGGGGCUGCUCCUAGUACGAGAGGACCGGAGUGGACGCACCUCUGGUGUACCGGUUGUGACGCCAGUCGCAUUGCCGGGUAGCUAAGUGCGGAAGAGAUAACCGCUGAAAGCAUCUAAGCGGGAAACUCGCCUGAAGAUGAGACUUCCCUAGGGCCUUGAGCCCUCUGAAGAGUCGUUCGAGACCAGGACGUUGAUAGGUCGGGUGUGGAAGCGCUGUGAGGCGUUAAGCUAACCGAUACUAAUUGCUCGUGAGGCUUGAUCCU